rnacentral:rRNA from 1 species
GUGCCAGCCGCCGCGGUAAUACGUAGGGACCAAGCGUUGUUCGGAUUUACUGGGCGUAAAGGGCGCGUAGGCGGCGUGACAAGUCACUUGUGAAAUCUCCGGGCUUAACUCGGAACGGCCAAGUGAAACUGUCAUGCUAGAGUGCAGAAGGGGCAAUCGGAAUUCUUGGUGUAGCGGUGAAAUGCGUAGAUAUCAAGAGGAACACCUGAGGUGAAGACGGGUUGCUGGGCUGACACUGACGCUGAGGCGCGAAAGCCAGGGGAGCAAACGGGAUUAGAAACCCCCGUAGUCC